AGUGGCGCACGGGUGCGUAACCUCUCAUAAACCUACCUUACAUUGGGGGAUAGCCUUUCGAACGUGAGAUUAAUACCGCAUAAGACAGUAACUAGGCAUCUAGUAGCUGUUAAAGAUUUAUCGAUGUAAGCUGGGCAUGCGACCAAUUAGCUAGUUGGUGAGGUAAUGGCUCACCAAGGCUAUGAUUGGUAGGGGAACUGAGAGGUCAAUCCCCCACACUGGCACUGAGAUACGGGCCAGACUCCUACGGGAGGCAGCAGUAGGGAAUAUUGGGCAAUGGACGCAAGUCUGACCCAGCCAUGCCGCGUGCAGGAUGAAGGCGUUAUGCGUUGUAAACUGCUUUUAUACAGGAAGAAACGACUCUUGCGAGAGGCAUUGACGGUACUGUAUGAAUAAGCACCGGCUAACUCCGUGCCAGCAGCCGCGGUAAUACGGAGGGUGCAAGCGUUGUCCGGAUUUAUUGGGUUUAAAGGGUGCGCAGGUGGUUUAUUAAGUCAGUGGUGAAAGACGGUCGCUCAACGAUUGCAGUGCCAUUGAAACUGGUAGACUUGAGUAAAGUAGAGGUGGGCGGAAUUGAUAGUGUAGCGGUGAAAUGCAUAGAUAUUAUCAAGAACUCCAAUUGCGUANGCAGCUCACUUGGCUUUUACUGACACUCAUGCACGAAAGUGUGGGUAUCAAACAGGA
rnacentral:rRNA from 1 species